rnacentral:rRNA from 1 species
GAUGAACGCUGGCGGCGUGCCUAAUACAUGCAAGUCGAGCGAACGGACGAGAAGCUUGCUUCUCUGAUGUUAGCGGCGGACGGGUGAGUAACACGUGGAUAACCUACCUAUAAGGCUGGGAUAACUUCGGGAAACCGUAGCUAAUACCGGAUAAUAUUUUGAACCGCAUGGUUCAAAAGUGAAAGACGGUCUUGCUGUCACUUAUAGAUGGAUCCGCGCUGCAUUAGCUAGUUGGUAAGGUAACGGCUUACCAAGGCAACGAUGCAUAGCCGACCUGAGAGGGUGAUCGGCCACCCUGGAACUGAGACACGGUCCAGACUCCUACGGGAGGGAGCAGUAGGGAAUCUUCCGCAAUGGGCGAAAGCCUGACGGAGCAACGCCGCGUGAGUGAUGAAGGUCUUCGGAUCGUAAAACUCUGUUAUUAGGGAAGAACAUAUGUGUAAGUAACUGUGCACAUCUUGACGGUACCUAAUCAGAAAGCCACGGCUAACUACGUG